rnacentral:rRNA from 1 species
UGGGGAAUUUUGGACAAUGGGCGCAAGCCUGAUCCAGCAAUGCCGCGUGAGUGAAGAAGGCCUUCGGGUUGUAAAGCUCUUUCAGUCGAGAAGAAAAGGUUGUGACCAAUAAUCACAACUCAUGACGGUAUCGACAGAAGAAGCACCGGCUAACUACGUGCCAGCAGCCGCGGUAAUACGUAGGGUGCGAGCGUUAAUCGGAAUUACUGGGCGUAAAGGGUGCGCAGGCGGUUUUGUAAGUCAGAUGUGAAAUCCCCGGGCUUAACCUGGGAACUGCGUUUGAAACUACAAGACUAGAGUGUGGCAGAGGGGGUGGAAUUCCAUGUGUAGCAGUGAAAUGCGUAGAGAUAUGGAAGAACAUCGAUGGCGAAAGCAGCCCCCUGGGUUAACACUGACGCUCAUGCACGAAAGCGUGGGGAGCAAACAGGAUUAGAUACCCGCGUAGUCCCUGAGCGGGCUGGCAAGGCGCAU